UACGUAGGGGGCGAGCGUUGUCCGGAGUUACUGGGCGUAAAGGGCACGCAGGCGGUCUUUUCAGUUCGGAGUGACAGUCGUCGGCUUACCUGACGAAGGCCUCGGAAGACGGGAAGACUUGAGGGCUCACGAGGGACACGGAAUUCCGGGUGGAGUGGUGAAAUGCGUAGAUAUCCGGAGGAACACCAAAGGCGAAGGCAGUGUCCUGGGGAGUUACUGAC
rnacentral:rRNA from 1 species